rnacentral:rRNA from 1 species
CAGCCGCCACGGUAAUACGUAGGUGGCAAGCGUUGUCCGGAAUUAUUGGGCGUAAAGGGCUCGCAGGCGGUUUCUUAAGUCUGAUGCGAAAGCCCCCGGCUCAACCGGGGAGGGUCAUUGGAAACUGGGAAACUUGAGUGCAGAAGAGGAGAGUGGAAUUCCGCGUGUAGCGGUGAAAUGCGUAGAGAUGUGGAGGAACACCAGUGGCGAAGGCGACUCUCUGGUCUGUAACUGACGCUGAGGAGCGAAAGCGUGGGGAGCGAACAGGAUUAGAUACCCCUGUAGUCCCUGUCUCUUAUAC